rnacentral:rRNA from 1 species
UUUGAUGGCGACCGGCGCACGGGUGAGUAACACGUAUCCAACCUGCCGAUGACUCGGGGAUAGCCUUUCGAGAGAAAGAUUAAUACCCGAUGGCAUAGUUCUUCCGCAUGGUAGAACUAUUAAAGAAUUUCGGUCAUCGAUGGGGAUGCGUUCCAUUAGGUUGUUGGCGGGGUAACGGCCCACCAAGCCUUCGAUGGAUAGGGGUUCUGAGAGGAAGGUCCCCCACAUUGGAACUGAGACACGGUCCAAACUCCUACGGGAGGCAGCAUG